AUCCGGAUGGCGCAGUGGUUAACGCAUCUACCUAACAAGCAGGAGAUCCUGGGUUCGAGUCCCGGUUUGGCACA